CGGGGCGUAGCGCAGCCCGGUUAGCGCGCCUGCUUUGGGAGCAGGAGGUCGUCGGUUCGAAUCCGACCGCCCCGA
rnacentral:tRNA from 1 species